UAACGGUCCAAAUUAUAAUUUGAAGUUUGUACAAUAUUUAGAGUUUGCAUUUGAUCACAUCCCUUUUGAAUACUGAUAGGGCUCGUUACAAGCAUGGUUUUAUAGGGGUUUAUUACACUAACAUGAGUGAUACUGUGCGAAAAAGUGGUGAAUUUGAGUGUGCAGGGGCUAAAAAGUGCUGAAGCGGCAGAAUGCAAGAACAAAUUAAUCAACUCAGAAAAGAAGCGAAAAAUGACCAAAACCGAAGACAAGUUGAUCAGUUGCGGACAAGCAAUGGAACCUGCCUAAUCAGCAAAUUGAUCAAGUGGAGUUCACCACAAGAGAUGAUGAGUCAUAGGAGAGAGAAGAAAAGAUGUCAUCUCAAGGGCAUUAAUGUCAAUACAUAGUUAUCAAUUCCCCACUUUAAAAUUACUAUACAAUAAUCCUCAUUGAACCCCAUCAAAUAAUAUAAUUAGUAGUGCUCAAACAAUUAAAACAAGAAAAAGGGAAAGGAGUAGGCAACAUAUUUUACUCCCUAACUUAGCACAUGUAUAUACUCCCUCAACACACACAUACGUGUACAAAAGGAGGAAGAAAUUAGUAAAAAGUAUACUCCCAACCAUCACUGCAUCUCUCUCUAACUCAAAUCCCUCUAUGUUUUUCCUCUCUCUCCUUCUGCCAUUCUUCCCCAAUUCACCAAAACAUCAAGCUUACUCUCAAAAUUACUUCACGGAAGCACCAAUUUCGUACCCCCGGGACACCAUAUUGUAUGAUGAAGAUGUCAUAAUGGUAACAAAAAGAGAAUUUUGUUCACUAUUGCCACAUACGCUAAUAGAAGUGGGUGUGAUCAAUGCAUGGGCUUCUUAUUUGAAUAACAUGGAAGAAUACAAGGCUCUAUCUUCAUCGAGACGCCUCUUUUUCACAACAUACCCAUCCGUAAGUAUAGUAUAAAUUUUGAAAACUUAAUUGCAUGGUAUAUGUACAUUAUAAAGCAUGUAUACUUCACUAUUAAUCAUAUUCAUUUCACUAUAUGAUAUUUAAACUUCACUAUAAGUAUAUGUUCACUAUAAAGUGAGCUAAACACAGUUCAUUAGUGCUAUAAAACAGGACACAAAGUGAAUUAUUUCUAUCCAGAUUUUACUUGUCUCAUCUUUCAGCUGUAUACAGUUGUUCACCGGCCUGAUGGGGUCGACAUCAUGACCGUAAUUGAUAGAUUUUGUGACAAUUUAGAAAAUGAGGUUGAACAAAUUCCGUAUUUCAAGUAGACCGACGUAGAUUUGGUGUUCUUUCCAAUUUGUGCUACGGAACAUUACUAUACCAUAUGCUUCAGAUUUAGCACUAAAAGUAUAGUGGUGAUUGACAAUUCAAAGAAUGGUGAUGAUGAGGACAUCACAGUCAAAUAUGGUAGCAUACCUAAAACUGUGAGAGUGUAUUUUUGUCAUUAUUUGACAAAAAAAGGUAUCACAUCCAAUGCAAAUCAAUAAAGGAUGUGAACAUAAAAAGACUCAAAAUGACUUGGAGAACAACAUCAAAUGUAGAAGAUUGUGGAGUUUUUUUAUGCGACAUUUGGAAUGUUAUCAUGGUGAGCGGGAACAAGAUUGGAAGUGUGGAUUAACUACAAGAAGCAAGAGAACACUCCAAAGACUAAGAGCAAAGUAUUGCAGCGCAUUAAUAUUGUCGGAAACAAACCAUGAGUCAUUGAAGAACUUGGCAACAGUAUCAAAGCAUUUUGAAGAAUAUGAGAAAAACAUGAACAUAGAUGUGGAAAAAAUGAUUGUAAACUUCAAGCGUUCAUGAACUAUUGUAAAAAACUUCAUUUAAAUUCAAUAGCAAGUUCUUAUUUUACAUUAA